GAUGAACGCUAGCGGCAGGCUUAAUACAUGCAAGUCGAACGGUAAGCUUGGUAGCAAUACUAAGUCAAGAGUGACGUACGGGUGCGUAACACGUAUGCAACCUACCUUGUACAGGAGGAUAGCUCGGGGAAACUCGAAUUAACCCUCCAUGAGAUAGUAGUGAGGCAUCUCACAGUUAUUAAAACUCAGGUGGUACAAGAUGGGCAUGCGUCUGAUAGUUAGUUGGCAGUGUAAUGGACUACCAAGACGAUGAUCAGUAGGGGACCUGAGAGGGUGA
rnacentral:rRNA from 1 species